rnacentral:lncRNA from 1 species
CACAAAAGUCCUGGCUUAUUAAUAGUGUGGAUCUUUACUUUUUGAUUGAGCAAGUAUUUCAAAGAUUAGUUGAGGGGCGGAACCAAAGGGCCCAAGAACUGCAAGUAGGAUGCGUGACACACAACAUCGAGAAGGUUUCUCUGUGUAGCUUUGCCUGUCCAGGCUGGCCUGGAACUUACAGAGGCUCUCCUGCCUAUGCCCUCAUUCUGUUGGAUAAAGUGAGUGUUGGGAUUAAAGGUGUGCGCCAUCACCCCCCCAGCUAUGUUUUUGAAAUCUUAAGUGUCAAAUUUCUUUUUUGAUCAGAAGAUUUAAUUUAAGGUAACAAGUGUCAAUCGUUUUGAAAAUGAGAAAGUCAGUGUAUUAGUCAUGAAAAAUUAUUUAUGUAUUUUGUAUUUGUGGCAAAUGUACUUUGAAAAAAGAAAAAGAAGAAGAAGAAGAAGAAGAAGAAGAAGAAGAAAAGAAGAAGAAGAAGAAGAAGAGGAUGAGGAGGAGGAGGAGGAGGAAGAGGAGGAGGAGGAAGAGGAGGAAGAGGAAGAGGAAGAAGAGGAAGAUGCUUCUGGGCUCUCCUGGCUUCAUGGGGGAUGUAAUUCUUAUGCUACGAAGUUCACCAUUUUAAGGACUCGUGUGGUGAAAGGAGAGUACAGGAUCCUUCCUACAAGUUGUCUUCUGACCCCUAUACGCAUGCUACACACCAGUGCAUGCCCCUUUCCCACAAAAUAAAAUAAAGGAAAAUAAAAAC